AUUGAACGCUGGCGGCGUGCUUAACACAUGCAAGUCGAGCGGUAACAGGCGUAGCAAUACGUGCUGACGAGCGGCGAACGGGUGCGUAAUACAUGGGAAUCUGCCCUUUGAUGGGGAAUAACCCGGCGAAAGCCGGGCUAAUGCCGCAUGAGAUCUUCGGAUGAAAGCGGGGGAUCGUAAGACCUCGCGCCGAUGCAUGAGCCCAUGUCGGAUUAGCUAGUUGGUGAGGUAACGGCUCACCAAGGCGACGAUCCGUAGCUGGUCUGAGAGGACGGCCAGCCACACUGGGACUGAGACACGGCCCAGACUCCUACGGGAGGCAGCAGUGGGGAAUAUUGGACAAUGGGCGAAAGCCUGAUCCAGCGACGCCGCGUGUGUGAAGAAGGCCUGCGGGUUGUAAAGCACUUUCGAUGGGAACGAAAUGUGCCGGGCUAAUACCCCGGCAAGCUGACGUUACUCAAUGAAGAAGCACCGGCUAACUCUGUGCCAGCCGCCGCGGUAAAAC
rnacentral:rRNA from 1 species